CUCAACUCAAUACAUAUAAUAUAAAACAAGUACCCCAGUGCCUCAAAAUCCAAAUUAUUCAAAAUAAAAUACAGACAAUUUGAAAAUUUCUUGCUUUACCAUCAACAAUCCUCAAAUGUACUAAAUAUACCAUAUAGUGAUCUCAUAACGACCUUUUCUAACAUAAACUACAUGUAACCUAAAAAAUAGCUACUACCUAAUCUGAUAAAGUAGACCAUACAACUAAUGACGUGUGGCUCAAUUCAAUAGAUCGACAGGCUCCAAUAUUGCUCAACUCAGCUGCUAUCUGAUAAGAAAAAAGGGUAACAAAAUAUAAGAUUAUAACUCAGUAAGUGGAUAGAUUGAAAAUAAGUAUACUUUUCCAUUUAUGCAUACUUCCUGAAAAUUAUAGCUCUAUUAAAUGUUUGGG
rnacentral:lncRNA from 1 species